AUGAGGAAAAGAAGAUUCUGCCUUCCUAGGGAGGGGAGAUCCAUCCUUUUGAGGCAACACCAAUGGUUACAGAGUGGGAAAAGCCUUCUGAAGGAAGUAUCGAGAAAAAAUUUUAAAGGAAACUCAAGUCUCAAAGCAAAGAAUUAGCAUGAGCUUUUAAAAAACUUUCUAAGGAGCAAAUAAAGAAGCCAUAAGCAUCUCCUUCA
ensembl:lncRNA